UUUUUUUUUUUAACUGUUGUAUGAAAUUAAUAUCAUUUGCGAUCGUGCUCGCAUGCUAAUAUUCAGAAAAACUGCACUCUAUCUGAACUGAUAUUACUUAACUAUAUCUUAUCUUAUAAAUAUGAACAACAACAACGACAACAAAAAACAUACAAGAUUUUAUUAUUAUUUAUUUUAUCUUCAUAACGCACUGAAUGCUUUUGGAUUUUCCAAAUGUGUGUUUUUGUGUGUGUGAGUGAAGUAAGUGACUACUCAUUAAAAUCAACUUAAUUUUCUGUAAAGUUGCUUUGCAAUGAUUUGUAUCGUAAAAAGCGCUAUACAAAUAAACUUGAAUUGAAUUGAAUUGAAUUAAAAAUGCCACAUUAACACUGUUAAAAAAAAAAAAAAACUUAACUAAAUUUUUAAGUGGACUUUAGGAUAAUAAAACACUACAAAAGUUUACACCACACCAGUGAAAUGCAUUCACCCAGAAAACUGUGUCAUACAGUCUCUUGUAAUUUACAGCUUUUACUUUAAAAUAUCUUGCAGUCUGCACUAAACUUAUCUGGCUGAAUUUAUGUAGAGAUUGAGUUUAGCCAUUAAAAGCUCUGGGUUGCAUUUAUGGUUCACGGUAGUUUGUUCACACAGCUUGAAAAAAAAAGAGAAGUGGUACUGUGUAUUUUUUAUUUUUAUUGAUUAAAAGCAUUGCAUUGAUUUCCUGUCCUCUUUCCUUUCACAGAUGUAAAUGCAUGCAGUAUGCAGUUGUGUUUUUGUAAAAGACAUUUGUACAUCUCUGUGAAUGAAGGAAACAGCAUAACAAGGAAACUCCAGGAGUCUGCGUCUUCCUUCAGGGACAGUGAAGUAGACAUUUAAGCCAACAAAGUCUGCUCAUUGUAUGGCAAUCAAUUUGUAAUUAGCUUAGCAGAUGCUCCAUGCGAUAAGGAAGAUGCAGUUUCCUUGAUCUCAAAGGGAUGGAGUGUUGUACACUAGUACCGCUGGCAAAAAAAUAGACGUGCUUGUCAAUUCUGAAGUGAGAGCAACAAACCAAACGCGCAUUGACAUGUCUUCUGUGAGAGCCGAGGAGAAUGAGUGACAUAUGCCAGAACUACUCCUCUAAAUGAAACCCCUCACAGUGCUUUGUACAACCUGUGCUUUUAAUAAAAGAAAUCUAGGACAUGAAGGCUUUGCAGACUUCAAAAGGAAACAUUACUUCCCUUAGGGCCCGUGCACUGCUAAAAAACACGACGGAGAGGAAGUGUUCGUUCUGCAGGGUCCAGUAGAUUGCUCCCUGCUGUGCCAAUUCUGCAAAAACAGUGAGGAUAUGGAUGCUCAGCUCAGAGGUGA
ensembl:lncRNA